rnacentral:rRNA from 1 species
GUUGAACGCUGGCGGCAGGCCUAACACAUGCAAGUCGAGCGGAUGAAGGUAGCUUGCUCCUGGAUUCAGCGGCGGACGGGUGAGUAAUGCCUAGGAAUCUGCCUGGUAGUGGGGGAUAACGUCCGGAAACGGGCGCUAAUACCGCAUACGUACUGCGGGUGAAAGUGGGGGAUCUUCGGACCUCACGCUAUCAGAUGAGCAUAGGUCGGGUUAGCUAGUUGGUGGGGUAAAGGCCUACCAAGGCGACGAUCCGUAACUGGUCUGAGAGGAUGAUCAGUCACCCUGGAACAGAGAGACGGCCCAGACACCGACGGGGGGCAGCAGUGGGGAAUAUUGGGCAAGGGGCGAAAGCCUGAUCCAGCCAUGCGGCGUGUGUGAAGAUGGUCUUCGGAUUGGAAAGCACUUUAAGUUGGGAGGAAGGGCAGUACGUUAAUACCUUGCUGUUUUGACGUUACCAACAGAAUAAGCACCGGCUAACUUCGUG